GACGUAGGGCGCGAGCGUUGUCCGGAUUUAUUGGGCGUAAAGAGCUCGUAGGCGGCUUGUCGCGUCGACUGUGAAAACCCGCGGCUCAACCGCGGCCUGCAGCCGAUACGGCAGGCUGGAGUUCGGUAGGGAGACUGGAAUUCCUGGUGUAGCGGUGGAAUGCGCAGAUAUCAGGAGGAACACCGGUGGCGAAGGCGGUCUCUGGCAGUAACUGACGCUGAGGAGCGAAAGCGUGGGAGCGAACAGG
rnacentral:rRNA from 1 species